rnacentral:misc_RNA from 1 species
UUCCAUCUACAAUGGAUAAGACUUCUGUCUUAAUGUAUUAAGAAUGCUUUAAAGGGGCUAUACCCCAUACAUAUCUUCCUAAAAGAAGAUAUGUAUGGGGUAUAGCCCUWUCCCCUUUCUUUGAAUGAUUUAUUCUAUUCUUUUUUUGAUUCAACGACUUAACGACGAGAUUUAUUAUCGUUUCUCGCAUGUCUCGCGAAAGUCAGAGUAGGCGCGAAUUCUCCCAAUUUGKGACSUACCAUACGAUCUGUUAUAUAAAUAGGUAAAUGUUCUUUUCCAUUAUGAAUAGCGAUUGUAUGGCCAAUCAUUGUGGGUAUAAUGGUAGAUGCCCGAGACCAAGUUACUAUUAUUUCUUUCUCCUCCCUCAUGUUGAGUUUUUCAAUUUUUCCCGAUAAAUUCUUAGCUACAAAAGGGUUUUUUUUUAGUGAACGUGUCACAGCUGAUUAGAUUACUCCUUUUUUUUACAUUUUAAA